rfam:Octopus bimaculoides Scaffold43244_contig_82, whole genome shotgun sequence.
GGCAGUUUAGUUUAAUGGUAAAACACUUGACGCGUAAUCACAAAGAUAUGAGUUCGAGUCUCAUGGCUGGCCA